rnacentral:rRNA from 1 species
GCAAGUCGAGCGAGGGCUCUUCUCCCGCAAGGGAGGGGAGUUCCUAGCGGCGAACGGGUGAGUAACACGUGGGCAACCUUUCCUAUCGCGGGGGAUAACAGCGGGAAACCGCUGCCAAUACCGCAUGUANUCACCGGUCGCAUGGCCGGUGAAAAAAGCAGCAAUGCACGAUGGGGUGGGCCCGCGGCCUAUCAGCUAGUCGGUGGGGUAACGGCCUACCGAGGCGAUGACGGGUAGCUGGUCUGAGAGGACGACCAGCCACACGGGGACUGAGACACGGCCCCGACUCCUACGGGAGGCAGCAGUGAGGAAUCUUCCGCAAUGGGCGAAAGCCUGACGGAGCGACACCGCGUGUGGGAUGAAGUCCUUCGGGAUGUAAACCACUGUUGGAGGGGAAGACUUCGACGGUACCCUCCGAGAAAGCCCCGGCUAACUACGUGCCAGCAGCCGCGGUAAUACGUAGGGGGCUAGCGUCAUCCAGAAUUACUGGGCG